UGGCGGACGGGUGAGUAAUGUCUGGGAAACUGCCUGAUGGAGGGGGAUAACUACUGGAAACGGUAGCUAAUACCGCAUAACGUCGCAAGACCAAAGAGGGGGACCUUAGGGCCUCUUGCCAUCGGAUGUGCCCAGAUGGGAUUAGCUAGUAGGUGGGGUAACGGCUCACCUAGGCGACGAUCCCUAGCUGGCCUGAGAGGAUGACCAGCCACACUGGAACUGAGACACGGUCCAG
rnacentral:rRNA from 1 species